AAACUACGAAUACCGAAGAAUGUUAUCACGGGAGACACACGGCGGGUGCUAACGUCCGUCGUGAAGAGGGAAACAACCCAGACCGCCAGCUAAGGUCCCAAAGUCAUGGUUAAGUGGGAAACGAUGUGGGAAGGCACAGACAGCCAGGAUGUUGGCUUAGAAGCAGCCAUCAUUUAAAGAAAGCGUAAUAGCUCACUGGUCGAGUCGGCCUGCGCGGAAGAUGUAACGGGGCUAAACCAUGCACCGAAGCUGCGGCAGCGACACUAUGUGUUGUUGGGUAGGGGAGCGUUCUGUAAGCCUGCGAAGGUGUGCUGUGAGGCAUGCUGGAGGUAUCAGAAGUGCGAAUGCUGACAUAAGUAACGAUAAAGCGGGUGAAAAGCCCGCUCGCCGGAAGACCAAGGGUUCCUGUCCAACGUUAAUCGGGGCAGGGUGAGUCGACCCCUAAGGCGAGGCCGAAAGGCGUAGUCGAUGGGAAACAGGUUAAUAUUCCUGUACUUGGUGUUACUGCGAAGGGGGGACGGAGAAGGCUAUGUUAGCCGGGCGACGGUUGUCCCGGUUUAAGCAUGUAGGCUGGUUAUCCAGGCAAAUCCGGAUAACCAAGGCUGAGGUGUGAUGACGAGGCACUACGGUGCUGAAGUAACAAAUGCCCUGCUUCCAGGAAAAGCCUCUAAGCAUCAGGUAACAUCAAAUCGUACCCCAAACCGACACAGGUGGUCAGGUAGAGAAUACCAAGGCGCUUGAGAGAACUCGGGUGAAGGAACUAGGCAAAAUGGUGCCGUAACUUCGGGAGAAGGCACGCUGGUGUGUAGGUGAAGUCCCUGCGGAUGGAGCUGAGACCAGUCGAAGAUACCAGCUGGCUGCAACUGUUUAUUAAAAACACAGCACUGUGCAAACACGAAAGUGGACGUAUACGGUGUGACGCCUGCCCGGUGCCGGAAGGUUAAUUGAUGGGGUUAUCCGUAAGGAGAAGCUCUUGAUCGAAGCCCCGGUAAACGGCGGCCGUAACUAUAACGGUCCUAAGGUAGCGAAAUUCCUUGUCGGGUAAGUUCCGACCUGCACGAAUGGCGUAAUGAUGGCCAGGCUGUCUCCACCCGAGACUCAGUGAAAUUGAACUCGCUGUGAAGAUGCAGUGUACCCGCGGCAAGACGGAAAGACCCCGUGAACCUUUACUAUAGCUUGACACUGAACAUUGAGCCUUGAUGUGUAGGAUAGGUGGGAGGCUUUGAAGCGUGGACGCCAGUCUGCGUGGAGCCAACCUUGAAAUACCACCCUUUAAUGUUUGAUGUUCUAACGUUGGCCCCUGACCGGGGUUGCGGACAGUGUCUGGUGGGUAGUUUGACUGGGGCGGUCUCCUCCCAAAGCGUAACGGAGGAGCACGAAGGUUAGCUAAUCCUGGUCGGACAUCAGGAGGUUAGUGCAAUGGCAUAAGCUAGCUUGACUGCGAGCGUGACGGCGCGAGCAGGUGCGAAAGCAGGUCAUAGUGAUCCGGUGGUUCUGAAUGGAAGGGCCAUCGCUCAACGGAUAAAAGGUACUCCGGGGAUAACAGGCUGAUACCGCCCAAGAGUUCAUAUCGACGGCGGUGUUUGGCACCUCGAUGUCGGCUCAUCACAUCCUGGGGCUGAAGUAGGUCCCAAGGGUAUGGCUGUUCGCCAUUUAAAGUGGUACGCGAGCUGGGUUUAGAACGUCGUGAGACAGUUCGGUCCCUAUCUGCCGUGGGCGCUGGAGAAUUGAGGGGGGCUGCUCCUAGUACGAGAGGACCGGAGUGGACGCAUCACUGGUGUUCGGGUUGUCAUGCCAAUGGCACUGCCCGGUAGCUAAAUGCGGAAGAGAUAAGUGCUGAAAGCAUCUAAGCACGAAACUUGCCCCGAGAUGAGUUCUCCCUGAGACUAUAAGUCUCCUGAAGGAACGUUGAAGACGACGACGUUGAUAGGCCGGGUGUGUAAGCGCAGCGAUGCGUUGAGCUAACCGGUACUAAUGAACCGUGAGGCUUAACCUU
rnacentral:rRNA from 1 species